rnacentral:rRNA from 1 species
GACGAACGCUGGCGGCGUGCUUAACACAUGCAAGUCGAACGGAAAGGCCCUGCUUUUGUGGGGUGCUCGAGUGGCGAACGGGUGAGUAACACGUGAGUAACCUCCCCUUGACUUUGGGAUAACUUCAGGAAACUGGGGCUAAUACCGGAUAGGAGCUCCUGCUGCAUGGUGGGGGUUGGAAAGUUUCGGCGGUUGGGGAUGGACUCGCGGCUUAUCAGCUUGUUGGUGGGGUAGUGGCUUACCAAGGCUUUGACGGGUAGCCGGCCUGGGAGGGUGACCGGCAACAUGGGGACUGAGAUAGGGCCCAGACUCCAACGGGAGGCAGCGGGGGGGAAUAUGGCACAAUGGGGGGAAGCCUGAGGCAGCAACGCCGGGUGCGGGAUGACGGCCUUCGGGUGGUAAACCGCUUUCGCCUGUAACGAGGCGUGAGUGACGGUAAUGGGUAAAGAAGCACCGGCUAACUACGUG